rnacentral:rRNA from 1 species
AGUGAACGCUGGCGGUAGGCCUAACACAUGCAAGUCGAACGGCAGCACAGUAAGAGCUUGCUCUUACGGGUGGCGAGUGGCGGACGGGUGAGGAAUACAUCGGAAUCUACUUUUUCGUGGGGGAUAACGUAGGGAAACUUACGCUAAUACCGCAUACGACCUACGGGUGAAAGCAGGGGAUCUUCGGACCUUGCGCGAUUGAAUGAGCCGAUGUCGGAUUAGCUAGUUGGCGGGGUAAAGGCCCACCAAGGCGACGAUCCGUAGCUGGUCUGAGAGGAUGAUCAGCCACACUGGAACUGAGACACGGUCCAGACUACUACGGGAGGCAGCAGUGGGGAAUAUUGGACAAUGGGCGCAAGCCUGAUACAGCCAUACCGCGUGGGUGAAGAAGGCCUUCGGGUUGUAAAGCCCUUUUGUUGGGAAAGAAAAGCAGCAGGUUAAUACCCCGCUGUUCUGACGGUACCCAAAGAAUAAGCACCGGCUAACUUCGUG